UUAAGUGAGCUACUUAAAAAUAGUCUUUAGAACUAACCCGUCUCUGUUGCAAAAGAGUGGGGAAAUUUUUAAGUAGAGGCGACAAACCUACCGAACUUAAAGAUAGCUGGUUUUUUAAGAAAAGAAUUUUAGUUCUGCCCUAAGUUUUCAAGGCUAAAUAAAAAACUUUAUCAAACUUAGGAGUUAUUCAAAUAAGGCACAGCUUAUUUGAAACAGGAUACAACCUAUGACAUCGGGUAAAAUAAUUAAACAAAACCAAGUAGGCUUAAAAGCAGCCACCUUUUAAACAGCGUCAAAGCUUAAUUUAAUAAUUUUUUUAAUUUCAUAAAUAAUAUUUAACCCUUACUUACUAUUAAAAAACUCCAUAAAAUUAUGGAAGCUAUUCUGCUAGAACGAGUAACAAGAAAAUGACUUUCUCCAAAAUGUAAGUUUAAGCCAUUAUAGACAUACUACUGGCAACUAACGUUUAUAAAUAACCUAUAGUAACACAACAAGAAAAUUCUAUAUUUUUUCCCGUUAAUCUUACACUAGAACAU
rnacentral:rRNA from 1 species